rnacentral:rRNA from 1 species
CGUAAUAGCUCACUGGUCGAGUCGGCCUGCGCGGAAGAUGUAACGGGGCUAAACCAUGCACCGAAGCUGCGGCAGCGACACUAUGUGUUGUUGGGUAGGGGAGCGUUCUGUAAGCCUGUGAAGGUGUGCUGUGAGGUAUGCUGGAGGUAUCAGAAGUGCGAAUGCUGACAUAAGUAACGAUAAAGCGGGUGAAAAGCCCGCUCGCCGGAAGACCAAGGGUUCCUGUCCAACGUUAAUCGGGGCAGGGUGAGUCGACCCCUAAGGCGAGGCCGAAAGGCGUAGUCGAUGGGAAACAGGUUAAUAUUCCUGUACUUGGUGUUACUGCGAAGGGGGGACGGAGAAGGCUAUGUUGGCCGGGCGACGGUUGUCCCGGUUUAAGCGUGUAGGCUGAUUUUCCAGGCAAAUCCGGAAAAUCAAGGCUGAGGCGUGAUGACGAGGCACUACGGUGCUGAAGCAACAAAUGCCCUGCUUCCAGGAAAAGCCUCUAAGCAUCAGGUAACAUCAAAUCGUACCCCAAA